AACUACUGUAGUCAGGAAGCUGAUUUAUACCUCCAUUGAAUCCUUAGCAAAUGUGAUUUUUGGGACGUCUAUUUCUGCGAAUAAAAUGAAUUAUUGAUUAUGUACACACCUAUUAUAUAAUGAGGAUGACGUAACUGUACCUGAAACAAGGUUGGAUGCAAAAAAUAUAUAAAAAAAGAAGUUCAGUAACGAGGUCUUAAAUAUAAAUAUGUCCCAAAGCUUCAGUUAAAACAAUAAAAAUACAUUACCACAACCGUUUAACUUUACUGCAGUUACUCUAUUCUUACUCAAGGUGGCACAAUGGGCACCUGGUUAGCACAGCCCAUUUCCAAGGCAGAGGUGGUGGGUUCAAAUCCAGGCUCUGGCCUAAGUGUAUGAAAUUUGCAUGUUCUUCUGGUACCGGGUACUCUGAUUUCCUCCCACAUUCCAAAACCUGCAUGGUAGGUUCAUUAAAGACUCUAAACUGGC